UGGAAAGUUCCAUUAACAGGAAAUGAGUAAAGAUGGAGUACAAGAAGGGGAUACUGCCAGGCUGUGCUGAUGCUGCUGGUCUGGGGAACCACACUUUGAGAAACACUGCUUCAAGGAACGUCUGUGGCCAAAGAAAGUCUUGUUACCAUCCUUUAGCAUCUAUAAUGGAAAUUGUUUGAACGAAUGGUACCAUCAUCCACGCAUGUGAGAAUCUGCGCUCAAGAACAAACUAUAUUGGCUUUGAGACAAAAUGAAACAAUCUGUAAUCCUUAGAAUUUGCCCAGUCUUCUCUGCCCUUCUUAUCUUGGAAGACAGUUGAGGAUAAUGUUUAUCUUUCUUUUAUUGUUACCUGGAACCUAUGUUCUACCUUUCAGGGUAGAAGCUACAUUUGCCAAGAUUAAAAUUCACUUGAUCUUUAGGCCUUUUGUAAUGUUGGCAAAAAAGUAACUUCCUGUUUCCUAUCAAUACAAGUCAUCAAGGCUACUCGGGCAGAUACAUAUGGGUUGAAUUUCC
rnacentral:lncRNA from 1 species